ensembl:snRNA U6 U6 spliceosomal RNA
GUGCCCAUGUUGGCAGCACGUACAUUGAACUAUAGAGAAGGUUAGCAUGGCGCCUGGGCAAGGAUGAGUGCAAAUUCGUGAAGGUUUCAUCUUAAAA